rnacentral:sRNA from 2 species
CACACAUGGCGUCUUCCGAACCCACUUCCGGCUUAUUUGUAGUCGAGGAUGCAUAUGCUCCGUAUUCUGCGGAUCUCACAAAUAAAGGGUCAUUUUUAAGUGCAACAACAAAACAAGGGCACAGUGAGUGCUCACACUACGAGGAAAGGAGAUUGCAGGCCGAAAUAUUCAUAUCACAGGGGCAGGAUCACGUUGCGACAGAUCAGACUCCUACGGCUGAUGGGACGUCAGAGCCAAAUGAAGAACUACCCAUAGAUGAGGAAUUGGUUCGUAUCAGCGAUGCCUCAGUACAGAUGAGUGCCAACCGUCCAUGGUCCACAGUUCUGAACAGCCGUGAUCCACGCAGACUAACACCAUACUCUUUCAUAUAUGACAACAGACCCCCCGGCAAAAAGGACUCAAGCAGCAAUCCCCUCUUCAUCACAUCCAGGAUCAAAUUAUCACGGUCCAG